rnacentral:rRNA from 1 species
UCCGUAGGUGAACCUGCGGAGGGAUCAUUACCGAGUUUACAACUCCCAAACCCAAUGUGAACGUUACCAAACUGUUGCCUCGGCGGGAUCUCUGCCCGGGUGCGUCGCAGCCCCGGACCAAGGCGCCCGCCGGAGGACCAACCAAAACUCUUAUUGUAUACCCCCUCGCGGGUUUUUUUAUAAUCUGAGCCUUCUCGGCGCCUCUCGUAGGCGUUUCGAAAAUGAAUCAAAACUUUCAACAACGGAUCUCUUGGUUCUGGCAUCGAUGAAGAACGCAGCGAAAUGCGAUAAGUAAUGUGAAUUGCAGAAUUCAGUGAAUCAUCGAAUCUUUGAACGCACAUUGCGCCCGCCAGUAUUCUGGCGGGCAUGCCUGUCCGAGCGUCAUUUCAACCCUCGAACCCCUCCGGGGGGUCGGCGUUGGGGAUCGGCCCUGCCUUGGCGGUGGCCGUCUCCGAAAUACAGUGGCGGUCUCGCCGCAGCCUCUCCUGCGCAGUAGUUUGCACACUCGCAUCGGGAGCGCGGCGCGUCCACAGCCGUUAAACACCCAACUUCUGAAAUGUGACCUCGGAUCAGGUAGAAGUCAACCCCUCCGGGGGGUCGGCGUUGGGGAUCGGCCCUGCCUUGGCGGUGGCCGUCUCCGAAAUACAGUGGCGGUCUCGCCGCAGCCUCUCCUGCGCAGUAGUUUGCACACUCGCAUCGGGAGCGCGGCGCGUCCACAGCCGUUAAACACCCAACUUCUGAAAUGUUGACCUCGGAUCAGGUAGGAAUACCCGCUGAACUUAAGCAUAUCAAUAAGCGGAGGA